UCGAGUGCGCCUGUCCCUGUGGUGGGAGCAGUGGCGCCGAGCGUGCCCACGGGCCGCCGCUUGGGUUUCUCUCGUGUUCAGGGUAGUAUGGACGUGGACAAUGGCAGUGGCCCCUGGCUGGCCCAAGAGCCGGGUCCAGAUACGCGCGCCUGAUUCCAGGCGUCAUAACCAACCCGGGGCCGCGAGGCUGGGAUCAGGCACCCCGGAGCCGCUUGCCCGUGGCCGGGCUGCUCUCCCCCUCUAAGCCUAAGCACCGCCAGUCGCGGCGCUGCGCUUUCCGCCGACCUCCCAGAGCGUCCCGCCGUCGCCGGCGGCCAGCCUCGCGCAGGACCAGUGUGGCGCCGCCCUGCUGUUGCUGGGGGGCGCCCGAGGCCUCCAUUCCUUGCCCAGGCUUCCGGCUCUCGGGGCGGCCUCCCUUCCGCCCACGCUCCAGGGCUUCCCCGGCUCCCGAGCUCCGAGCUUCCACCACAUCGGCCGGCUCAGGACAGGGCUUCCACUGUAAAGUCGGCUGCCAGACGUGUUGGAGCUCACCGAACCCAGAGUUGAUCUCUGCAGCAUGCCAUCACUGCUGGGGAUGAGGAAACGGUGAUUUCAGGACUGUUUUUUCUGUCUCUUCAGUGCCUCUUUCAGUGAUCUGAGGUUAAAACCAGAGGGACAAUCAGUGGAGCCUUCUUUCUGCCGUCUUGCUUUACUCUCACGCCCAAGAAUCAGAAUUCAGAACUUUUAAUAAGAAAAGCUUUCAGAACUCAGGAAGGACAAGGAAGACAUUCUGGUUCUCCAUGCUUAACAUUGGACUGUUUCUUCAACUGAGACUAUGGAGGAUUCAUCAACAGACCAGGAAGCAACAGCCUGGGCUCCAGAAUUGACCAGUAGUCCGUGCACAGACGAGGAGAGGUCCCAUGAAACUUCGGCGCAGUCUGGGAACCGAGCUCUUUUUGUAACAAGUUGUUUGUCAGGAGGCCCGGUCAUGAAAGCCCUUCCUGACUGGGCUCAAGGAAUACAAAAAGGACAACUUGUUUUUGCCAUUGUCUGUUGUUUUUCAAUAACUAGUUCUCCGAAACAGCACUGGAUGAAUGCCUCAAGGGGCUCACACAACUCGUUCCAGGACUUAGUGACCAUUGUUUCUGUCCCUGUUCAAUAGAGUUCAAAUUUAAUAUUUAAAUUUUGCUCCACAAUGUGCCAUAUUAUCUGUAUCCAACCUGUCAUUGGGCAUUUAGGUUGAUUCCAUGUCUUUACUAUUGUGAAUAAUGCUGCAAUAAACAUUUACGUGCUUGUGUCUUU
rnacentral:lncRNA from 1 species